rnacentral:rRNA from 1 species
UACGUAGGGGGCUAGCGUUGUCCGGAAUCAUUGGGCGUAAAGAGCGUGUAGGCGGCCCGGUAAGUCCGCUGUAAAAGUCAAAGGCUUAACCUUUGAAUGUCAGCGGAUACUGCCGGGCUAGAGUCCGGAAGAGGCGAGUGGAAUUCCUGGUGUAGCGGUGGAAUGCGCAGAUAUCAGGAAGAACACCAAUGGCGAAGGCAGCUCUCUGGGACGGUACUGACGCUGAGACGCGAAAGCGUGGGGAGCGAACAGG